UACGGGGGGGGCAAGCGUUGUUCGGAAUUACUGGGCGUAAAGGGUGCGUAGGUGGUUGUUUAAGUCUGUUGUGAAAGCCCCGGGCUCAACCUGGGAAUGGCAAUGGAUACUGGACAGCUAGAGUGCGGUAGAGGGUAGUGGAAUUCCCGGUGUAGCAGUGAAAUGCGUAGAGAUCGGGAGGAACACCAGUGGCGAAGGCGGCUACCUGGACCAGCACUGACACUGAAGCACGAAAGCGUGGGGAGCAAACAGG
rnacentral:rRNA from 1 species